UACGUAGGGGGCAAGCGUUGUCCGGAUUUAUUGGGCGUAAAGAGCGUGUAGGCGGCCAGGUAGGUCCGCUGUGAAAACUCGAGGCUCAACCUCGAGAUGUCGGCGGAAACCAUCUGGCUAGAGUCCGGAAGAGGAGAGUGGAAUUCCCGGUGUAGCGGUGAAAUGCGCAGAUAUCGGGAAGAACACCCGUGGCGAAGGCGGUUCUCUGGGACGGUACUGACGCUGAGACGCGAAAGCGUGGGGAGCGAACAGG
rnacentral:rRNA from 1 species